rnacentral:rRNA from 1 species
GACGAACGCUGGCGGCGUGCUUAACACAUGCAAGUCGAACGGAAAGGCCCUGCUUUUGUGGGGUGCUCGAGUGGCGAACGGGUGAGUAACACGUGAGUAACCUGCCCUUGACUUUGUGAUAACUUCAGGAGACUGGGGCUAAUACCGGCUAGGAGCUCCUGCUGCAUGGUGGGGGUUGGAAAGUUUCGGCGGUUGGGGAUGGACUCGCGGCUUAUGAGCUUGUUGGUGGGGUAGUGGCUUACCAAGGCUUUGACGGGUAGCCGGCCUGAGAGGGUGACCGGCCACAUUGGGACUGAGAGACGGCCCAGAGUCCAACGGGAGGCAGCAGUGGAGAAUAUGGCACAGUGGUGGCAAGCGUGAGGCAGCAACGCUGCGAGCGGGAUGACGGCCAUCGUGUGGUAAACCGCUUUAACCUGUGACGAAGCGUGAGUGACGGUAAUAGGUAAAGAAGCACCGGCUAACUACGUG